CUGGGAGAGAAGAUAACAAUCGAACUCCACCACCGCCAACUGCAUCACCUCUGAUUCCCACCACCAACUCAACCAAUUUCAUCGACAGUUCCAGCACCACCUCUUAUAUUCCGACCAAAAAUCACCAGCAGCAACACCACCACCACCUUCUAAACAGUCGAUUUGGAUCUAUUUUUACUUGAUUCAGCUACAAAACUAAAAUCUAGAGAUGAACUAACGAGAAACUAAUCUCCAAAACCUAACAUCGAGCAUGAGAAACGUAAUUUGAGGUAAUCGAUUGGUUCAUUUCAAUUUCAGUUCCAAUUAAAUUGUACUUGAUUCCGUUUUCAAACCCUAAUCCAUAAUAGAAUCAGGUAAUUGAUUGUUUCCUUCUUCAAUUCGUUAUUUCAUCUGUGUUGAAUCAGAGAAGUAGAACUAAACGGGUUUUAUAACUCGAUUUUCAAUUCGUCAUUUUCAUCUGUGUGUGGUGGUGGGUGGGGUAGUAGCAUUUGUGGUGGUGUUUGUGUGCUAGUGGUGAUUUUAUUAGUUAUUUCUUUGUUUGAUUUUAAUUGUGAUGGAAGAGGUGGAAUUGGUGGGGAUCUGAAGUUGGUGGACUAGGGUGUAGAGGCGUUCAACACAAUUUUCAGCUGAAUUCGAGUUCACAGUGCUUUCUAUUUGCACGGAGCAGCUCGCAAUUGGUUAUUCAGGCAUGGCACGGGGAACACAUCAGUUCCUAGCAUUUUAUCAAGGCGAGGUCUAGUAGAAGCAAUGCUAGAGGUAGUGGAUAUCGCAGUGGAUGUGGUUUCUUGUGUUAGCCGUAGUUGUGAUGGUAGUGGUUGUUGUAGUUGUGGUGGGGUAAUUGCGAGAUUCUUGUGUUAGCCGUAGUUGUGAUGGUAGUAGUUGUUGCAGUUGUGGUGGGGGUAAUUGCGAGAGACAAUAUGAACUUAGUGUUGGAUGCGCACAAACUACUAGGUAUGUAUAUGUUGCAGACCAUGAACAUUUGUGUAGUUUUAUACAUCAGUAGUUGUAGUAUAUCUAUUCGGAUGUGACUUUGUAUGUCAUUUUGCAUCAACAAAUCUGUGGUGCAAUAGAAACACGAAUGACUCCAUGUCAUAUGAUGCGUGUUCGACUCACGUCGGGUUCAUUUUUUGUGUAUACUUUUCAUAAUGUGCAGACAACUUGUCCUAGUUGCUUCUAUAUGUGGAGACAACUUGAGCUAGUUGCCUCCAGAUUUGGAGACAACAUCAGCAAGUUGCCUUCAGAUUUGGAGUCAACUUUCAGCAAGUUGCCUUCAGAUUUGGAGUCAACUUUCAGCAAGUUGCCUCUAGAUGGUGGUGGUGGAAUUGGUGGUUGCUGGUGGUGAUGGAUGAAAGUGGUGGUGGUUGGUGGCGGUG